CCCUGCUGCAGGCCCCGGUAGCCGCGCACAAGUUGAAUGCCUGGGCAGCAGCCUGUCUGUUCCCAUGGCCCAGGGACACCUCCACAGAUGGGAUAGCACUCUGCCGGAAGACGAGCAGUGGGUCCAGGUCCUUCCUUCGAGUAGGGGGCCUUCUCCCAGCCCCCUGAGCGCUGACAGAGCAGAGCCCUCCGACACGGAGGGGCCUCUCACUGGGAUUGCUCUGAGUCCCAGGACCUGCCUGGCCUCUGCUUCUGGGACAGAGGGCAGUGAAGCCUAGGGAGGCUUGUGUGACUUUCGUUAUAAUGGCCCCGGCCGUAGUACCAGGGCUGGCAUUUGGCUGCUGUGGGGCAAAUGCGUGUGCCCAUCACAGGCCAACGAGCCAUGUGUUCCCUGUGUUCCUCCUUGAUGCUGAUUAUUUGAGAGAUAAGGAGAUGACUUCUCCUACAUGUGUGUGGAAGAGAUUCAGGUGACAGCCACUUCCUCUUGUUGGGGAGAAAGUUAUUUGUCAAGCCAUGUGGUCAGCUUGCCUGGGCUUCUGCAGGGGGCUUCGAGGGUGUCUCUGAGAGUCCUGUCUCUCACGUUCCUCCAGUCUGAGGUUCUGCCCCUCCCCUGAGCAGCCUCCAGGCUCUGCUGGUCACUGGUGUGGGAUGGCGGAGAGGAGGUUGGGCUGCCUCAUUUCCACCCCCCUGGAAGAGCUCCUGGCCUCUUUUGGGGUCCUCCAGCCAUGGUCUCACUCCUGCUGUUAUAUCAGCAGUUUGGGGGUCCCGGAUCUUACCGCAUUUGCUAGGAGACAGUGGCAGGCAGUCACCGAGCAGGAUGAUACACCUUUAGACAGGGUGGGAUCCAAAUCCCUUGGCUCUGCUCCUGUGGCCUUCACUCUUCCCCAGCCCCCCAGCAACCGUUCAUGUCUCAGCCAUCCAGAAAUCAAGGGUUUCUUUACAUCUGUGUUCCUGCAGGCCUCGAUCACACAGGGCACCAGGUGAGAAAAUGUGCUCAUGAACAAAUCGCCGACACCCAGCCUGCCCGCGUCCCACAGUGACCAGUUGCUCACGGAGACAUCGGCCAGUGCGCUGCAGGAGCAGCAGCAGCUCCCUCCCGGCUUAACCCGUGCUGCAUGGCCCCUCUGCGAAGCAACCCGGCCAAGGCCCAGCUCACCUGCAGGCUGGGCCAGGAAGCCUGGCUCCCUAGACGCAGAGUCCUGUUGCGGCUGGGAUUUAGGUGCUUUUAACCUGAAAAUGGUGCAUAUCCUGUCAGCACUGCAGAAGAACUCGAGGACCUCUUGGCCUGGGCUCAAUCUGGAGUAUUUGGGAACUUGGAGAAUGGAGCAAGGGUGUGAGAAGGAGCCACAGGCGAGUGCUGUCAGGGGUGCUCUGCCCCAGAGGGCAGAUCUGCCACCUCCGGCUGCUUCCUAAUCUCCAUUCAUGGGGACACCCAGCGUGAGCCGCGCCUGUCAACUCCAUGGAGUCAUGGAAGGUCUAGAGUCCGGGCUUUCAGAAUCUCCUGGAAGAGACGGCUCCUCUUUCACCUGAGUUAAAUGGACCAGGGUAAGCACCGCUGGGGACAGAGAAAGUAGGUCCUAAUGUGCUAAUUACAGCGGCUCUUGGUCUUAGGUGCAGCCAGCACACUAGCUAUCAGCUACAGGAGACGUCCCGUGCCGCCGUUUCCCCCGCGAGCGCCUCAGCCUGGCCCGGGCCCUGUGUGCUCUGUCAGGAGGCAGGUGACGAGCCAGGCCCUGAGGCUCUGAGCAGACAGGAUGUUGGCUUCGAGGCCUAGCUUUCUCCAGGAGCCUUUUGAUCCUGCAGAUUCGACUGCCUUUUAAAUUUAAAACCCAAAUGUUCCUGCCUUCCUGCCUGCCUCCCUUUUCUCCUUUCUUCCCCCUCCUUCCUCCUUUCUCUGUCACUCUCUCCCCCCCACCUUCUCCAUUUGCCAGCCCUCAGACUCCCCUUCCGGCCCGUGAGUUAGGCCUGGCCAGGGAAGAGGGGAGGGCCGGCUGUGCUUUCCUGUCUUCUCUGAGGCUGCGAGCUACGGUGCCUUCUUUCCCAUUCUCUUUUCACCGCUGCAGCCAUCAUCUUCUGCCCCAGCACAGGGUGUCUGCAGCAAUGUGGCUGUGGACUGGGCAGUGGCCUGCCGCCUAUGGAGGACCCUGCUGUGGAGUCCUGGGCCUCAGGCAGCCCCUGGGGAGCGGUCUGGACUGCCCCGUGCCCAGGAAGCGGCCUGCUGGGGCGCCUCCCCCAGGCCACCCAUAACCCUCAUCCCAGGUAGCACAGAGCACUUUCUCGUGACCCCAGUCACCUGUCAGAACCACACCCCGAGCGCCCAGCCAUUGUCCAGGGGCACCCGGGGAUGCAGCUGCUCAUCCACAUCCGCUAGGCUGAGCGUCUGCAUGCACAGCGGGCACCAGGCUGUGCCAGAGCUGCUGGUCGAGCACACACAUUCAGAGAAGGAGGAAGGACUCAAUUGUCCUCCUCAGCUCUCCUCACAGGGCACAGUGUGCCCGACACCAGCUGCAGCACCAGACAGAUCAUGGACUCGUCCAGCACCCUAGAAGGUGUGGGCUAAUAAGCCUCUUUCUUUCCUCCCCUCCCCUCCUUUAUUUUUUAGGGGAGAAAACCACCACUCAGAGAUGCUGACUGACUCAGCAGAAGCCACACAGCGGGGAAGCAGCCAAGGUGGACUUCCACAUGUUAAGGCAGUCCCAGCCUGUGGCUCUGGGAGCCCUUGGGUAAGCGUGCUCCUCCUCCAGCGGAACAAACGCGCCCUGUGCUGCCAGCAGCUGGGUCACGUGGCCAGCAUCGUCUUUCUCUUCUCUUCCCCCCAUGCCUGAGAGUCUGAUCCUGGCUUUUCCUCUCCUGGAGAUUGUAGCACCUACACAAGAGGCAAAGGCAGCCGUCAUACAGACCCAGAGUGAAUUGGAUGCUCUUCCCCCAGCACUGUGCAGACGCAGGAACUGGAGCGGAGAGCUCAGAAAAUCGCCACCGAUUUUUUCUGUGUACCCCUCCCUCCUUCCCAGCCCGUCUCCGUCCACAUCACACUUCUCCCUGGGGCUUCAGUCAUUGCUGAGCUAUCUUCAUUUAAUGUGGUUUUGACAAAACAGUUGGUCUGGAAAUUUUAUUUUCAAUUAAACUUACUUGUUGGACUGCCUAGGCUUUGAAAGCAUUCUAUUAGGAUGGCUAAUUAUAUGGCAGUUGCUGCAAGGAGAUAGAUACUUGCACUCAGUUUCAGCCCUUAGGUAAUUCAGAUCAAAUGCUUCGUACUUUUCCUCCCGGAGCUGUGUACAGCAUCUUCCUCUCACACUGCAGGCUUCCCAGGAGUUAUUUUUAGAAACCCAAAUCAAAACAGCAGUUUUGGUGGAGGCCGUUUGUAGCCUAGCAGAGUAAACCAUAUGUACUGAUAAAAACAGGCAAGCAGCUGAUGCCCUUCAAGAGCAACAAAACCACCUCCCUGUUGCGGGGUCAGAUGCCUGGGAACCCUGGGAACCGCAAGCUGUUCUUUGUGCUGUCACGUUCCUUGGAAGACUGAAGUCAGAGGCAGUGGGGCCGCCUUUAAAAUGACAAAGGACUCCCCGCCCCUCAGCGGAGCCCUGGGAGGACUUCCUGGGGCACUGUUCUGGCCUCGGGUCUCCAGUGGAGCAUGGAGGGCACUUUCUUGAUUUCCCUCCUCUGCUCUACUUUCUUGUUUGAGCGACACACACUAACAUGCCUCAUCCUGCUCACCCAGCGAGCCACCGCUGCCCAUGGUCAGACUGUAAGGUGGACAGGGGCUGUGCUUUUCACCCUGCAGUGGGCCAGCACAUCGUAGGCACUCAAACCUGUAGGGGAGUCAUUAAAAUUCUGUUUGCUUUCUCAUUUUUAUAAAUGUCAAUCUUUCGUUACACAAAUACUAAGAGAACGCAUCUGUCUUGGGGCAGAAAAAGAGCUUUCCCAAUAGGGCCAAACAUCCUGCAGUUCUCCGUCUCCAGUGCUGGGCUCUUCAUUGUCUCUGUGUAACAUUUGUCAUCGCUUUGGAACACGUCUUUGCAGAUCUUUCUAAUUCAUUUGUGCACGUGUACGCAGACACAGGCACAGUCUAUAGACCUGUGAUAAAGAGUAUUACCCAGCCUAUGUAGUCUCUCCCAGGGGUGCAGUCCGCAUCACCCACCUCUUUCCUUUGAACUGCUACCCAGCUGUAGUGCAUCGAGUGGUUACACCACCUUUGACUUGAACCAAGUGAGUUCUUUAUCUGCUUUCCGCAUUGGACCUCUGGAUCCAUUCUCACAUGUCGGCUGACCGGCUAGCCAUGUCCACUGCCAUCUAGGUAGCUACAUCACAUCCUGUCAAAAUCAGCCACUUGCCUGGGAGGUUCUGCCAACCCAGUAGACAGAGUACGUGAAAUUCUAAGGGUUGCCAGUGAGACCGAAAUUCCUUUGUUUUCAACCUAGGGAACAGCGCGGUGCCCCAGUGAGUUCCCCAGCAGUAGAGAGUGGUGUUGGAUCCAUGCUUGGGGCUCUUUUCACAGCCAGAGGGUUUCCUGGAUGGGUCCUGCCCUCGCCUGGACCUCACCUUCCGCAUUUGCCCAGUGGACGUGGGGAACCUCUUCCUGCUGUUUGGCUGUGAAUAACAGGCCUUUCUUGGUGCUGCCAGGACUGCCCCUGAGUGCUGCUGGACUCCCCCCUGCCAGGUGUUGGCUGGGGAAGGGGCUCCCAGCACAGCCCAACCUGGAGCUCUUGGCAGAGACCAUGUCCGGAAGACCCGGGACGCCACCUCUGGACUGUACUCUUCUUUCCUAUUGCUCUGUCAUUCAAUUAAAAUUAAUAUUACGAUUUUGGGCUUUGUUUGGUCUUUUUUUUCUAAGCAAGGCAGUAAGGGGUAAGGAAAGAGAUGGAGCCCUGCGUUUUGCUCCCAGGUUUGCCUAAUUCCAGGUGUGGAGUUUAGAUAAGUCCUUAACUUUCUCUGGGCUUUCAUCUGUUACCAUGAUGAUUAAAUUAGCCAGGUAUGCCCUUAAAUAACCUUCAGAAACAGAACACACCUGUAUGUGUUUCUCCUGGCAUUUCCGGUCUGCUGUCACCUGCAGAUGGCUCCUCUUGUGAACUGGUGAUGCAUCCUAAGAAACCCAUGAAAAUCGGGCUUCCCAGUGCCGUGCAGCUGCCCUGGCCCCUGGUGACAGGUGCUAUGCCCU
rnacentral:lncRNA from 1 species